ACGCACGCUGGCGGCGUGCCUAAUACAUGCCAGUUGAGCGCUGAAGGUUGGUACUUGUACCAACUGGAUGAGCAGCGAACGGGUGAGUAACGCGUGGGGAAUCUGCCUUUGAGCGGGGGACAACAUUUGGAAACGAAUGCUAAUACCGCAUAAAAACUUUAAACACAAGUUUUAAGUUUGAAAGAUGCAAUUGCAUCACUCAAAGAUGAUCCCGCGUUGUAUUAGCUAGUUGGUGAGGUAAAGGCUCACCAAGGCGAUGAUACAUAGCCGACCUGAGAGGGUGAUCGGCCACAUUGGGACUGAGACACGGCCCAAACUCCUACGGGAGGCAGCAGUAGGGAAUCUUCGGCAAUGGACGAAAGUCUGACCGAGCAACGCCGCGUGAGUGAAGAAGGUUUUCGGAUCGUAAAACUCUGUUGGUAGGGAAGAACGUUGGUGAGAGUGGAAAGCUCAUCAAGUGACGGUAACUACCCAGAAAGGGACGGCUAACUACGUG
rnacentral:rRNA from 1 species